UAUUGAGGGUGGACGACUGGUGAAAACUGCCUUAAACUAAUGAGUAAGGAAAACAAAGCGAACGGUGAGAGCCGGUCGCAGCGCCUAAUUAAAUCGUGAAAACGUUUAAAAAAUGGCGCAAGAAUUUAUGGAAGGAUGAGUACAGUAGAGAACCUGGGGAAUUCGAUCCUGGGAUGGAAGAAGGUGAAGACAGGCCUAUAGAUCCAAUUUCGGAUAUUGAUAUUACAAGAAUCAAUAGUCUUAUGUUCAAUUCAAGUGAUGUCUAAGUGAUGCUAUCUUUUGUGUCAAACUGUCAAUGAUCUUUUUAUUCAAACUUAUCUUUAGCGGUUAUUAAUGGAUUAUGGUAAUUAGUAGUA